rnacentral:rRNA from 1 species
AUUGAACGCUAGCGGCAUGCCUUACACAUGCAAGUCGAACGCGUGGAGGACGGGUGUGAUAUAUAUCGGAACGUGCCCAGUAGCGGGGGAUAACUACUCGAAAGAGUGGCUAAUACCGCAUACUCUUGGAGCGGCCGAUAUCGGAUUAGCUAGUUGGUGGGGUAAAGGCUCACCAAGCCCACGAUCCGUAGCUGGUUUGAGAGGACGACCAGCCACACUGGGACUGAGACACGGCCCAGACUCCUACGGGAGGCAGCAGUGGGGAAUUUUGGACAAUGGGGGAAACCCUGAUCCAGCCAUCCCGCGUGUAUGAGAAGGCCUUCGGGUUGUAAAGUACUUUUGGCAGAGAAGCGGUAUCUGCAGAAUAAGCACCGGCUAACUACGUGCCAGCAGCCGCGGUAAUAC